rnacentral:lncRNA from 1 species
AGUCCGCCGCCUCCCUCCGAGCGCAGGACGCUCCGACGCCCGCUUGCCCGCAGGCCACCGCAGGCCUUACUGGCUUUGGGCAAGUGCUGAAGUUCACUCAUUUUCUAUUGGUUGUUUCUCCCCAUGAAAGACAUUGAACAUAAGUGGUGUGGAAUAAUGUUAAGCUUCUCUGAUGGGUCCUAAAUGGUUGAAGAACACCCCUCAAGAGAUGGGAAGAUUCUAAGAGCCAGAGAGAAUGGAUUACUCCAAGGCAACACAAUGGGACUGAUGACCACAUGAACUCUUAGAGACUGUAGCAGCUUGCACCAGGCCUGUACAGGUUCAAGCCAGAUGGGGUUCCAGCACUGAGAGGGGAAUUGGACAUGGACGUCUACUCCUUACUAAGAAGCUCUCUGCAACUGAUACCGACUUGCAAAGGAAAAUAGUUUUCUCCAAUGAAGUACCACUGAGUAUAUUAACCAUACUUCAAGUGUGCACACAUGGCUCAGCCUUCUGCAAACUUUUGGCCAAGGGAGAAAGCUCAGAGCUUGGCUGAUAUGCUGGACUCCCCAAAGUCUCCAGGUCUCCAGGGACGGUGCCUGUAACUUACCUGAAGAGGAACUGGUAGACAAGUCAUCUGAAAACAACUGAGGAAUCCUGCCCUGACCUAUCAGCUGUCUGCUGCCUCCCAACUCUUGCAGCCUUGGGAGAGGCACAUUCACUUGGAAAUGUGAUGAACAGGUGUCCAUUUACUUUGGAUUCAGGCCAAAGAGUCAAGCCAAUGUCAUUUGUAAGGCACAAUCAUUUUAAGUUCAGACCCAUGAAGAUCUUUUCUUGUACUUUUGUCUGAAUUAGAGAAACAACUUAAGCUGUCGUGCUUGGGGACAUUACUUUGAGAAAGCUACUUUGGAGGCACAACUCCCUAGGGUAAAGAAGAAAUAGCUUCCCGUCUUCCUAUGCAGGAAACUGCUGAAAUAGCUGACUCUACCCUCAAAGUUUAGAGUUCAUGUUCUCUGUGCACUUGGGUCCAUAUGUUCAAAGUGGCUUGGGAAAUAAUUUAUCAGUAGUUAACAUCCCUUUCCUAUCAGCUGUUUCCAGGAAAAAAAGCUAAUGUUGAGCAAUGGAAGUUGUUUCAACCUACA